rnacentral:lncRNA from 1 species
UAGCUGCACUGGGGAGGUAGUACUAUCUAUAAGGAUGUGCUUGUUGCUUCCAGCGGUCCACAAAACACUACUGUGUCCACGUUCUCAGAUCAAGAGCCCUCCUUGUCCACAGAGGUCAUAGGAUGCAACCGUGGUUUAGAUAGUCCUUAUCUGAAAAUAGUGCAUCAGACAGUCAGGUCAGUUGUUGCUAUAGCAACCUGUGGGUCUCUGAGGCUCUGGCAUGUGUCCUCUGUCAGUGGAUCUGCACGCAAUCUUGCAGAAGAUGGAGAUACUAAGCGGAGAGGAGUCCAACGUUAUCACCACAGACGUGAAGAUUCAUUACUUUUGCCACUUUCAAAACUCUCUAGCACUGAGGAUUUAAACCCAGAACCUUACUUAGCACAUGCUACAGAAGAGCUCUACCACUGAGCUACACGAUUAAUUCCAGUAACUUCAUCUAUAAAGGAAAUUGGCGCAACAAGAGAAAAUGCAC